rnacentral:rRNA from 1 species
GAUGAACGCUAGCUACAGGCUUAACACAUGCAAGUCGAGGGGCAGCGCAGUGUAGCAAUACAUGGGCGGCGACCGGCGCACGGGUGCGUAACGCGUAUCCAACCUUCCCGUUACUCAGGGAUAGCCUUCCGAAAGGGAGAUUAAUACCUGAUGGUGUUCAAAUUCCGCAUGUUAUUUGAACUAAAGAUUUAUCGGUAACGGAUGGGGAUGCGUGACAUUAGAUAGUAGGCGGGGUAACGGCCCACCUAGUCUACGAUGUCUAGGGGUUCUGAGAGGAAGGUCCCCCACACUGGAACUGAGACACGGUCCAGACUCCUACGGGAGGCAGCAGUGAGGAAUAUUGGUCAAUGGUCGGAAGACUGAACCAGCCAAGUAGCGUGAAGGAUGAAGGUUCUAUGGAUUGUAAACUUCUUUUGUACGGGAAUAAAACCACCUACGUGUAGGUGCUUGUAUGUACCGUAUGAAUAAGCAUCGGCUAACUCCGUGCCAGCCGCCGCAGUAAUAC